rnacentral:tRNA from 1 species
GUAAAAUGGCUGAAGAUUAGGCAAUAAAUUGUAAAUUUAUGCAUGAAAAAAAAUUCUUUUACCAG